AUUGAACGCUGGCGGCAGGCUUAACACAUGCAAGUCGAGCGGGGUGAUGGUGCUUGCACUAUCACUUAGCGGCGGACGGGUGAGUAAUGCUUAGGAAUCUGCCUAUUAGUGGGGGACAACAUCUCGAAAGGGAUGCUAAUACCGCAUACGUCCUACGGGAGAAAGCAGGGGAUCACUUGUGACCUUGCGCUAAUAGAUGAGCCUAAGUCGGAUUAGCUAGUUGGUGGGGUAAAGGCCUACCAAGGCGACGAUCUGUAGCGGGUCUGAGAGGAAGGACCGCCACACUGGGACUGAGACACAGGCCCGACUCCUACGAGAGGCAGCAGUGGGGAAUAUUGGACAAUGGGGGGAACCCUGAUCCAGCCAUGCCGCGUGUGUGAAGAAGGCCUUAUGGUUGUAAAGCACUUUAAGCGAGGAGGAGGCUCUUUUGGUUAAUACCCAAGAUGAGUGGACGUUACUCGCAGAAUGAGCACCGGCUAACUCUGUGCCAGCCGCCGCAGUAA
rnacentral:rRNA from 1 species